rnacentral:lncRNA from 1 species
ACUCUCUAAUAGCGGUGGUUUUGGCAUCCCACCUGCUUGGUAGGGCUCUCAUGAACUUUAUGAUUAGAUUUUUGUUUGGAUAGAUCUUCCCAUAGGCUCGUAGAGAGUUGAGCAGAACGUUAAAUCUCUCGUAGGUGGCAGUUACGUUUUCUCCUUGAACAUGAGCAAACAUUUCAUACUGCUGUAUCAGGAAUGAUUGUUUGUUUU